rnacentral:lncRNA from 1 species
CCAAGCAGCCACCAGAGUAGUCUAACCUGUAGUGUCUUUGGUGUUGAUCGUGGUGUCCUUGAAACUGAAGUAGUUGAGCAGCUUACUGAAAUCUUCACCUGUAUAGGGCCUUGCAAACAGAGGAACUGACUGACUUUGUUCUAAACUACAUUUUCAAGGAAGUUUGUAUAGUGACUAGACUUGGAAGAAAGACACAGUGUCUCCCUCCAAAGCAAAAGUUAGGCAUGCAUACUGUACAGUAUAAUAAUAAUGAUGCCUGCUUCUGGAGCAAAGGGCAGAUAUGCUUACUGCCCAUUAUAAAAGACUCAGGUUCCUAAAGCUCAGGGUUUUGUUCCUGUAAUGGAAUCCAAUGUGUGUACAUGUGUCACAUGAUCCUUUUUGUGUUGCUCUGUAGGAAGUGGGGCUUGGGGAACUGGUGCAAGAAAUGCUGAUAUUCUGGUUAC